GGCUGGAGCUGGGAUCCACCCCUUCCCAGCCCUUAUUUGAGGGUUGGCAGUGGAGGUGAGGGGAUCUCAGUAGAGAUCCUUGCAUACUUGAGGCCUUCCAAAGUUUUAUCUUCUAAGACUAGAGUCACUUCUCACAGAAGCCUGGAAGCCUGUCUGGUGCCAUUCAGUAUCUGGUGCACCCUGAAGCACAAUGCAAUAUGGAAAAUGAUUUUGGACUCCACUCAAAAGGAGCUUGGAAAGAAUUUUGGAGGAUGGACAAACAACACCGCCCAAAAGUCUGCUUUCUGCCAGGAAGAAAUAAAGGAAGAAGUCACCACAGUGGCAAUGAGCAUGAAGGGAUGUACUUAUAGCAAGGCUGACACAAGGAUCCCUUAAGACUCCACAGGAGUCUUGUUCCAGCUCUGAUGUUUAUGCAAUCCUCUCAGUGCCCUCAGCAGGAGAUGUUGUGGAUCAAGGGUAGUGUGUGACCCUGAUGCUGUAGCACAAGUCCCAGGAUCAUAAUUAAACAUGUAGUUUGGCCCUUUCUACAGAACACACCUUGAUAAAACUUGAUGCCUCCAGAGUAGAUGUGUGACCUUAUGGGCCUCUUCAUCCCUUGUUUGUCCCUCUAGAAAUGGCACAUGUGUAAGCAUGUAAUCAGCCUGCAAUUAUGUGGCCAACAUGUUGGAAUAGAGACUGUUCCUCAUCCUCUCUAUGAGCAGAUUUACAUAUUAACAAUUGCUAUUAGCACCUAUUAGCCUUAAUGGCACAAACUCAUGAAAGUCUUAUAAGUGAAUAAAUAGGUGUGCAGACCUCUCAAUUGUCUCUUUGGUACUCAGACAGUAUGAGGACUGUCAGAAUAAAAACAAGGGAGU